UUAUUCGUGGUUCCAGGGGUCUUGGAAUGUAUCCCCCGAGGAUAAGGAGAUUGGAGUGACGUGUUACAAAUCCAGGAACACCUGGAGCUGCGAGAAGCUGGAAGACGGAUGGAGGGACCCUCAUACAGAGCUUCUGAAGGGAACCUGGUCCUGCUCACACCUUGAUCUCGGAUGUCUGGCCUUUAGAAAUGUGAGAGUAUACAUUUCGACAGUCUUAGGAAAGUCAUACAGACAGGACAGCGAAUGAGAUUUCUUCAUGGAUGGACAUGGGACACACAAGAGAACAGAAGAGUUCUUCGAUGCUGAACCACCUUUGAGGCUGAUGUGACAGCCGUCCUUCAGCCCAGGGAGAUGGAAACAGGACCGGAACAGCCGGGGAGAAAUGUUGUAAUCAUGCAGGAGAGUGAACUCGGGUACUACAUAAACCAGAACAUGACAUGCAUGUGCCUAAGAGAACGAUGAAGGUUUCAGCGAAGAUAAGACCCCACCUUUGCAUGACUACAAAGAUACUGAAACUCCAGCAGGUGGGAGAAGUUAACUGCAUGCCGCCCACCAGCACGCAGACCCAGACCAGUUGGAACCAGAAGGUCAAUGAUGCUGACUUCUGAUGACCUCACCACCAACCAAUCAGAAGAAAGUCCAUGAACUGAUCACACCCUCUUUGAACCAUCGCUAGAAAACCCUUCACUACCUCCUCCAGAUAAGCAGACUCAGCCUGCAUGGAGAGACCAUGAGCUGGAUUUCAGGAAAAGCCCAGAAGAGCCCACAUUUCUCUUAGGAUAUUCCCGGGAGAGCAUCCACAAGCCUGGAAACACUUAACCAUCCCUUGCUUACUUGAGAGAAGUCAGAAAGGAUUAUUGAGACAGAUUGGAAUGUUGAACCAAACUUAUAAGUGUUCCUAAGCUGUGUUCAUUAACCAAAGAAGAUGCUGAAACAGGAAAACCAAUGAACCUGGGAACGUAGCUAUGAUUACACCCCUCCACCCCCAAAGGGGAAAGGAGGGGUGACUAUUUAAGAGAACAGAAUAUGCUGGUCAUUGACAACGAAGAAAAUAAGAGAGAAGUUGUCCAAGGAAAAUACUUCAAAGGUAAUUUUCUUGGAGGGCUGAAAGAAAAGAUGCAAAAAUAAAAUCAAACCAAGAACUCUUAUCAGUUAUGAUGCCAGGUCUUUGGGUGACUGUGAAAUGCAUUUAUUCAUCAGAUGAAGACAGGGCUUGGAAUUCAACACAUCUAUUGCACAAAUACGGUUUGACCACCUAGUGCAUGUAAGUCAGUGUGGGCAGAAGUUUAGUAAAAAUGGAAAUGUGACCUGUAGGAACG